rnacentral:rRNA from 1 species
GAUGAACGCUGGCGGCGUGCCUAAUACAUGCAAGUCGAGCGAACCACUUCGGUGGUGAGCGGCGAACGGGUGAGUAACACGUAGGUGAUCUGCCCAUCAGACGGGGACAACGAUUGGAAACGAUCGCUAAUACCGGAUAGGACGAAAGUUUAAAGGUGCUUCUGGCACCGCUGAUGGAUGAGCCUGCGGCGCAUUAGCUAGUUGGUAGGGUAAAGGCCUACCAAGGCGACGAUGCGUAGCCGACCUGAGAGGGUGAACGGCCACACUGGGACUGAGACACGGCCCAGACUCCUACGGGAGGCAGCAGUAGGGAAUCUUCGGCAAUGGGAGAAAGGCUGACCGAGCAACGCCGCGUGAAUGAUGAAGGCCUUCGGGUUGUAAAAUUCUGUUAUAAGGGAAGAACGACUUUAGUAGGAAAUGGCUAGAGUGUGACGGUACCUUAUGAGAAAGCCACGGCUAGCUACGUGCCAGCAGCCGCAGUAA